rnacentral:rRNA from 1 species
AACGAACGCUGGCGGCAGGCCUAACACAUGCAAGUCGAGCGAGAAGCAAGUCUUCGGAUUUGUGGAAAGCGGCGGACGGGUGCGUAACACGUGGGAAUCUACCUUGAAGUGGGGGAUAGCCAUUAGAAAUGAUGGAUAAUACCGCAUGAGCCCGAAAGGGGAAAGAUUUAUCGCUUUAAGAUGAGCCCGCGGAAGAUUAGCUUGUUGGUAAGGUAACGGCUUACCAAGGCGACGAUCUUUAGCUGGUCUGAGAGGAUGAUCAGCCACACUGGAACUGAGACACGGUCCAGACUCCUACGGGAGGCAGCAGUGGGGAAUCUUGCACAAUGGGCGCAAGCCUGAUGCAGCCAUGCCGCGUGCGUGAUGAAGGCCUUCGGGUUGUAAAACGCUUUUAGGUGCGAAGAUGAUGACAGUAACACCAGAAAAAGCCCCGGCUAACUUCGUGCCAGCCGCCGCCGUAACAC